rnacentral:rRNA from 1 species
AUGCCGCAGCAGCAGCCGGGGACCGGCGCCCACGUCUUGGACUCCGUACCACUCUUCGUCGUCAUCCUCGGCGCCGCUCACGUCCUAGCCCUCGUGUUCUGGAUCUACAAGCUGGCUUCCCAGAAGCAGCCGACGCGGAGCAAGACGCACUGA